GGAAGGUUGGCCGAGAGGUAAGGCUGCGGCUUGCUAAGCCGGCGACGGGGGCGACCCCGCGGGGGUUCGAUCCCCUCACUUUCCG
rnacentral:tRNA from 1 species